rnacentral:rRNA from 1 species
AGAGUUUGAUCCUGGCUCAGGACGAACGCUGGCGGCGCGCUUAACACAUGCAAGUCGAGCGAGAACCGGGCCUUCGGGCCUGGGGAAAGCGGCGAACGGGUGAGUAACACGUGGGUAACCUGCCCUCGGCACCGGGAUAGCUCGGGGAAACCCGGAUUAAUACCGGACGGCCUCCGGAGCCUUCGGGCGCCGGAGAAAAGGUGGCUUCGGCUUCCGGCCGGGGAUGGGCCUGCGGCGGAUUAGCUUGUUGGCGGGGUAAAGGCCCACCAAGGCAACGAUCCGUAGCUGGUCUGAGAGGACGAUCAGCCACACUGGGACUGAGACACGGCCCAGACUCCUACGGGAGGCAGCAGUGGGGAAUCUUGCGCAAUGGGCGAAAGCCUGACGCAGCGACGCCGCGUGCGGGAAGAAGGCCUUCGGGUUGUAAACCGCUUUCAGGAGGGACGAAGCCACUCGGGUUAAUAGCCCAGAGGGUGACGGUACCUCCAGAAGAAGCCCCGGCUAACUACGUGCCAGCCGCCGCGGUAAUUC